CAAGUCGAGGGGCAUCAGUUUGGUUUGCUUGCAAACCAAAGCUGGCGACCGGCGCACGGGUGAGUAACACGUAUCCAACCUGCCGAUAACUCUGGAAUAGCCUUUCGAAAGAAAGAUUAAUACCGGAUGGCAUACGAAUAUCGCAUGAUAUUUUAUUAAAGAAUUUCGGUUAUCGAUGGGGAUGCGUUCCAUUAGUUUGUUGGCGGGGUAACGGCCCACCAAGACUACGAUGGAUAGGGGUUCUGAGAGGAAGGUCCCCACAUUGGAACUGAGACACGGUCCAAACUCC
rnacentral:rRNA from 1 species